CUCGUAAUAGUUUGCGUUUCCUCGCAAUAAGUUGUGUUCCCUUGUAAUAGUUUGCGUUUCCUCGCAAUAAGUUGUGUUCCCUCGUAAUAGUUUGCGUUUCCUCGCAAUAAGUUGUGUUCCCUUGCAAUAGUUUGCAUUUUCUCGCAAUAAGUUUUGCGUUCCCUCACAACAGUUUUCGUUCCCUCUCAGAUUUGCUUUCCCUCGCAUUAGAUUUGCAUUCCUUCACAACAAGCUUUGUGUUCUCUCGCAAGAUUUGCGUUCCCUCAUAAUAGUUUGCUUUCCCUCGCAAUAGAUUUGCAUUCCCUCGCAAUAAGUUUUGUUCCCUCAUAAUAGUUUGUGUUUCCUCGCAAUAGUUUGCAUUCCCUCGCAAUAAGUUUUGCGUUCCCUCGCAACAGUUUGUGUUCCCUCUCAGUAAGAUUUGCGUUCCCUCAUAAUAGUUUGCAUUCCCUCGCAAUAAGUUGUGUUCCCUUGUAAUAGUUUGCGUUCCCUUGUAAUAGUUUGCGUUUCCUCGCAAUAAGUUUUGCGUUCCCUCUCAGAUUUGCGUUUCCUCGCAACAAGCUUUGCUUUCCCUCGCAAUAGUUUGCAUUCCCUCACAAUAAGUUGUGUUCCCUUGUAAUAGUUUGCGUUUCCUCGCAAUAAGUUUUACGUUCCCUCACAACAGUUUUCGUUCCCUCUCAGUUAGAUUUGCGUUCCCUCGCAACAAGCUUUGCUUUCCCUCGCAUUAAAUUUGCAUUCCCUCACAAUAGUUUGCUUUCCUUCACAACAAGCUUUGCGUUCCCUCGCAAGAUUUGGGUUCCCUCGCAAUAGAUUUGCAUUCCCUCGCAAUAAGUUUUGUGUUCCCUCAUAAUAGUUUGUGUUUCCUCGCAAUAGUUUGCAUUCCCUCGCAAUAAGUUUUGUGUUCCCUCGCAACAGUUUGUGUUCCCUCUCAGUAAGAUUUGCAUUCCCUCGCAAUAGUUGCAUUUCCUUGCAAUAGUUUGCAUUCCUUCGCAACAAGCUUUGCGUUCCCUCGCAAUAAGUUUUACAUUCCCUCGCAGUGGUUUGCGUUCCCUCACAACAAGAUUUGCAUUCCCUCGCAAUAGUUUGCAUUCCUUCGCAGUAGUUUGCGUGCCCUCGCAAUGGAUUUGUGUUCCUUUGCAAUAGUUUUGCAUGCCCUCGCAAUAGUUUGCGUUCCCUCGCAAUCUAUAUGAAGCCCAUGCGCACUAUCCGGUGGAUCACAUACGCCUGUCCCAGGAGAAGCACUCCACACAUCACACGCUUGGCUUCCAGAGGUUCCUUAUUAACAGGAAUGAGGAUGUGGAGGAGGGAUACGUUUUGAAACAUGAAGGUAUCGGGCUGCAACUGACUGCAAUGAAAUACUGGAAAUGUAGUGAGUCUGGAAUCAAACUGCCCUUCACAGAUACAACAGAGUCAGACUGCAAGUUUGUGAUCGCAGAAUCUCUUCCUGAGCAAGGUAUGUAAACGGCAGGAGAUUGUGGAGGCGGGUCAUGACCCUCACAUACUGAGUCCGUACAGAAUUCUCCUUGACACGGACGUCCGUACGGACACAGACAGCUGGAUCACGCCCAUCCAACGAUAUCUCCUGCAGGUCUUCACCAAUCCCAUCUUUGGGUUCCUGGAACUGAUCAAGCAGAGAGGAGCCACUGUUCAGUAUUUGUCAUGUGUGACCUGUAGAUGGUGCUACAAGUUUCCUGUCCUUCAGGGAUGAGGAGUCUUUUUCCACAACACACUGAAACUCAGUUAACCACACCGGGUGUGGAAUUAUCCAAUAACAACAGUUAGUUACAGUAUUCCCCCUUCAUUCAGCAUGUUGUUGUGUUUUACCAUCUGGUUUGCAUGUUCAGAUCUUUGUCAUAGAUAUUAGAGGUGAUGUUGGGUGUUUUUGGCUAGAGGAAGAGCUUACUCAAAACUAUCAAGACAACAUGAAUCAUAAGCGUCUUAUAAAUGUCUUAUAAUCCUGUCCAGUUAAAAUAACAAUACUAGCUGAGAGUUAUUGUUUGAUUGACAGCUUAUUGAGCUAUGUAAACUUGAAUGACAGUAAUUCAUAAUGAAUUCAUCAAUCUGCUUUCAUGUGUGAACGUUGAAAACAACCUGAUGUUCAGUGACAUAAUCCUGACCUGUGACUCUGACAUUAAAUGUGAU